rnacentral:rRNA from 1 species
UACGUAGGGACCAAGCGUUGUUCGGAUUUACUGGGCGUAAAGGCGCGUAGGCGGCGUGGUAAGUCACUUGUGAAAUCUCUGAGCUUAACUCAGAACGGCCAAGUGAUACUGCUGUGCUAGAGUGCAGAAGGGGCAAUCGGAAUUCUUGGUGUAGCGGUGAAAUGCGUAGAUAUCAAGAGGAACACCUGAGGUGAAGACGGGUUGCUGGGCUGACACUGACGCUGAGGCGCGAAAGCCAGGGGAGCAAACGGG